GACGUAGGGCGCGAGCGUUGUCCGGAUUUAUUGGGCGUAAAGAGCUCGUAGGCGGCUUGUCGCGUCGUCCGUGAAAACCCACGGCUUAACUGUGGGCGUGCGGGCGAUACGGGCAGACUGGAGUACUGCAGGGGAGACUGGAAUUCCUGGUGUAGCGGUGGAAUGCGCAGAUAUCAGGGAAGAACACCAAUGGGCGAAAAGCAGCUUUCUGGGACGGUACUGACGCUGGAGACGCGAAAGCCGUGGGGAGCGAACAGG
rnacentral:rRNA from 1 species